rnacentral:rRNA from 1 species
GGAUAGAGGCCUACCAUGGUGGUAACGGGUAACGGGGUGUUAGGGCACGACACCGGAGAGGGAGCCUGAGAAACGGCUACCACAUCCAAGGAUGGCAGCAGGCGCGCAAAUUACCCAAUCCCGACACGGGGAGGUAGUGACAAUAAAUAACAAUACGGGGUUCUUUCGGAUCUCGUAAUUGGAAUGAGUACAAUUUAAAUCUCUUAACGAGGAACAAUUGGAGGGCAAGUCUGGUGCCAGCAGCCGCGGUAAUUCCAGCUCCAAUAGCGUAUAUUAAAGUUGUUGCAGUUAAAAAGCUCGUAGUUGAAUUUCGGGGUUAGUAGGUUGGUCAUGCCUCUGGUAUGUACUGGUCUCACUGAUUCCUCCUUCCUUAUGAACCGUAAUGCCAUUAAUUUGGUGUUGCGGGGAAUUUGGACUGUUACUUUGAAAAAAUUAGAGUGUUUAAAGCAAGCUAACGCUUGAAUACAUUAGCAUGGAAUAAUGAAAUAGGACGUUCGAUCUUAUUUUGUUGGUUUCUAGGAUUGACGUAAUGAUUAAUAGGGAUAGUUGGGGGCAUUAGUAUUCAAUUGUCAGAGGUGAAAUUCUUGGAUUUAUUGAAGACUAACUACUGCGAAAGCAUUUGCCAAGGAUGUUUUCAUUAAUCAAGAACGAAAGUUAGGGGAUCGAAGACGAUCAGAUACCGUCGUAGUCUUAACCAUAAACUAUGCCGACUAGG